UAGGUUGAUGGGGCACGCAAAGUGCGCCGUCCACUCUAGUAUAUAUGAAAGCUCAAUGAAAGGCUGGCUGCUCGCGCGGGCCACAUCGGCCGAAUUUUUCCGACCGUCGGAUCGACGGCGGACGGAUGGAUGGCUGGGGGCGUCGCCGCUCACGUGCGUGGAGGUGGUGGCUUUCGCGUUCUCGCCUCCGCUCGUGCACCGUAUGAGAGAGGGCGCCGCUCUUCUCUUCCUUCUCACUGCUGCUGCCUCCGCCGCCGCCCCCGUCGAGCUCACGGGUAAGCACGCAUUCUCCUCCCCUCUCCCCCUAAACCUCUUCCAAACACUAACUGUUUACUUUGCUUCGUCCCUCGCGGCCGCGUCGCACCCUCUCCCCGCACUCCGUCUCCCGCCCGCGCCGCUCUUGGUCGGGGAGGAGGGCGGGUCCUUCUGCACGUGCCUCCGCAGCCACGGUUGCCCGUCCCGCCUCCGUGGCCCGUCGCGCUUCUUCCACGCCUUCAGGGUCCGCGCCAACGCCACCUGCCCCAGCGGCCUUGACCUCUGCUUCCACCGGUAGGAAUGCCACAGUGGGUCGAUGUAAGUGCACGGCGUCGCAGUGCAAUAGGAUGCCCAAGGGCGGGCUCUGGGUGCAAGCCAUCUCCCUCUACGACAGCUGGAUGUUUGGCAGAUCUGGACCCGACCGAGGCCAGGACGGCGGCUGUUGGGUCCACGUGGCGGCGGCUGCCGGCAGAGCCUGCUGCGGCGAACACCUUUGUUUUCUUUUUGCUUUUUCUUUCUCUUUUCUCUAACGUUUUAUCCUCUGGUUUUUUGAAUUUGUUUCAUUUUGUUUCUUGUACGCAGGAAGCGACCGGUCAGCGGUUCGGCCAUAGUUUCACCGGACUUGCCAGUUAGCACCUCAGUACAUACAGGCUAUGAGCUUCGUAUGUGUACGUUGCGUUACAGCUUUUAUCCUUCUUUUCUGAGCUGAGUACAGCAUGUUGCUCCAUAGUACAGCUAUUUCCCCUGACUGUAGCGGUGCCGGUCGAUGGCGUCUGCGUCAGUUGCUAGGCCACGCUACAGGUCGUCCUGGCGAAGACGGUGAUGAUCCAUCGAGGCAGCGGCUGCUGGGCGCAGGGUGGUUUAUUACUUCGGUUUCGUGUCUAUUAUAAACUUCUCAAUGUACUAUUGUCAACCGUAGGCGGUUUGAGAGAGAAGCCACCUCAUCUUGCAGCAGGUACAGCUUAGAAGAAUAUAUACUUUGUACGGCAAAACUAAUAGACUCAAUGAUUUUGGGAACACAUAAUGAUCAAACUAUAUUAUUCCUGUAAUUAAACACAGGACGUAGUUUAACUAAUUAUCUGUUUUUUUUGUGU